rnacentral:rRNA from 1 species
UACAGAGGGGGCAAGCGUUGUUCGGAAUUACUGGGCGUAAAGGGCGCGUAGGCGGCCUGCUAAGUCGAACGUGAAAUCCCUGGGCUCAACCCAGGAACUGCGUCCGAUACUGGUUGGCUUGAAUCCGGGAGAGGGACGUGGAAUUCCAGGUGUAGCGGUGAAAUGCGUAGAUAUCUGGAGGAACACCGGUGGCGAAGGCGACGUCCUGGACCAACACUGACACUGAGGAGCGAAAGCCAGGGGAGCAAACGGG